rnacentral:rRNA from 1 species
GACGAACGCUGGCGGCGUGCUUAACACAUGCAAGUCGAACGGAAAGGCCCUGCUUUUGUGGGGUGCUCGAGUGGCGAACGGGUGAGUAACACGUGAGUAACCUGCCCUUGACUUUGGGAUAACUUCAGGAAACUGGGGCUAAUACCGGAUAGGUGCUCCUGCUGCAUGGUGGGGGUUGGAACGUUUCGGCGGUUGGGGAUGGACUGGGGGCUUAUCAGCUUGUUGGUGGGGUGGUGGCUUACCAUGGGUUUGACGGGUAGCCGGCCUGGGAGGGUGGACGGGCUCAUUAGGACUGCGAUACGGAGCAGAGUCCUACGGGAGGCAGCAGUGGAGAGUAUUGCACAAUGGGCGGAAGCCUGAUGAAGCAGCGCCGCGUGCGUAAUGACGGCCUUCGUGUGGUAAACCGCAUUCGCCUAUGACGAAGCGUGAGUGACGGUAAUGGGUAAAGAAGCACCGGCUAACUACGUG